rnacentral:lncRNA from 1 species
GCCUGCAGAGGUGAGUGCAUAGCCUUGAGGGUUUUCAACAAAGAAUCCAGAGUUAGCCAAGAAUCGCAUUAAGCGAAAAAUGUGGGCAGAUUUAGAAGGGUGGAUUGGGAGGACAGAAAUCAGGUCAGAAAGUGUGAUGGGCUUCCCAUGAUUCCUGAUCACAUCUGGGAUUCCCAAUUCAACUGCACAUUUUAGACAUGCAGAUUUCUUGAAGUGGAACAUUGCAUUCCACACAUGAGUUUGAGCUUCAAUAAGCUCACCUAAAUUCUCAACUUUUUCCAUCUUUUGUUCAAAUUCAAUGGCAUUAAUUCAGUUGCCUGAUUAAACAACAAAUGGUCAAGCAGGACAGCAUUUAUAUGCUAGUAAAUUAUGGGUAGCAGUGCAUAUCUGCUCCUAAAUUAUGGCGGUAGAUGCCUCCUGCGCCUCCUAUGAGGCUAUAUUUGAUUGGUUUCCACGAUUUCAAAGUAUCUAAAUGGGUUUGGCAGAUCUAGAGGUGUCAAACCUCACCAAACCAAAUAAAUACUCCCAAGUAAUUCGAUUAAAAUAUCUAAUUGCUGACGCAAUUGCAAUUAUUAAUUAGUAUCUGAGAAAAUUCAAUACGAAUGAACCACGAGCAAGACUGAGAGUAAAUUGAAGCAGCCACCAUUGAUGGUGACAUGAAAGUUGAAACAAAUGGUUAUGGGGGCUUGACUAGCUUUUCGAGGAUCGACCGGGUAGCAUUUGGUUUGCCGUAUUCUUGAUGGCAGACCUCUUCCAUGUUACAAGCAUUUACAGAAAAGGUAAUCCAACAAAAUGUUAUCAUCUUCCUUGUUCACUACAAUGGUGGUCCCGAAAUUUUUUUUCAGAAAAUCUCAAAUUAGUGUCGGGAUGCUUUUUAAUUUUGAAUGGGCUCGCAAAAGGUCGAUUCUCUAAUUUUGACUCGUCAAGGAAAUUUUGUUUAAUAUGGCCUCUCACAUAAAAUAGUAGAAGUCUAAAGCCUAUAUGCUGUAUGCAAAAGAUGAUAUUGUAUUACUCAAGUAAUUUUUUGUUGUGAAUAGGGUGGCAAUGGGGCGGGGGUGGGGCGGGGGAUCCUUCCUCCAUCCCCCGCCCCAUUGCCUAUUAAUUAAUGACCCCCGUCCCCCGUCCCGUCCCGCCUCGCAUCUCCUGAGAGCACCUGCGGUGUUAAAAAAAUUAUUAUAUAAUUUAUUAUAAUUAAAUUUGACCAAAUAAUCAAGUACUAAAAUAUCAACACAUAACCAAAUUAUUAUUCAUUGUAACUUCGCAAUUGAAACAUAUAAAAAUAAUUAAACAAAAGAUAUUUGAAUACAAUCUAAUAUGAUAAAAAAAACUAAAAUAAUUAAGUUUUCACUUUUGAUACAAAUAUAAUCACUAAAUUAUUAUUGUAUUUUUUUAGAAAAAAGUGUUAUUGUAUUAAGUGUAGUUAGGAAUUUAAUAUAAAUGUAUUAAUAAAUUUAAUAUAAAUAAUUAAUAAUUUUUUUUAAUAAAUAUAUAUAAUUAGUAGCAUAAUUGAUAAUAUCAUUAUAUAUAUUAUUAUGUACAUACAUAUAUAUAUAUAUAUAUAUAUAUAUAUAUAUAUUUGUUUCAAACGGGUGGAAAAAAUUUCACCCCCCGCCCCUGCCCCCACCCCCACCCCAACCCCAAUAGUCCCCCGUGGGGCGGGUGACUGGCCCAUUGCCACCCCUAGUCAUGAUCACUAGAUGAUAUAGGGAUAACAUUAAAAACAACUUCUAGAAUUCUAAACAAAAAGAAAAAAUUUAGAAUUCUAACAGGCGGUUUGAAAGAUUCAACUCUAUAGGGCUGGAUUAAUACAAUCUAGUAGUUAGAACACAAAAUGAGAUAGGAUUUGCCUAAUGAAGUGCUAAGAUACUGAUUUGUGGCAGAUAGCUUUGGGCUGGGGAUUGUAUUUGGAAUGCUUUCCAAGUUGAUUUUAUAUGUAUCUCUUGUGUAUAGCAUAGGUGUUCUUAUGUGUACUUGAGGGCUUUUUCUAUUGAAAAAAUGUUAUUGCAAAUAUUAGCAUAAGUUUUACAGUUUGGGGUAAAAAUAAAUUAUUGAUUAAUUUGGGCCCAAUUGCAUUAUUGCAUUAAAUUUGAAUUUUUUUAGUUGGGCAAAUAGGCAUGCAGAUUUUGCAAUCUGGGUGGAGACACUGACAAGUGCCUUUUGGCAUAGUUAUUAAAACCAACUCGGGCAUCAACCUUCGGAUUGGCGGGUCAGUGAUUUAACCGACGGGUCACCCUAUAUAAUAGAAAAAUAUAUAAUAUAAUUAAAUAAACAUAUAAAUUAUAAUAUAAGUACAAAAAUUCUUAAAUGUUAAUAAGUCAUAACAUAUUAAUAUUUCAUAGUUUAUACACACAAGCUCUAUCCAUACGUGUUCUUUAGUUCAUGAAUUCAUGUUGAUAUUAUACACAAAUAUAAAUGAUAAAUCUAAGUGUCAAAGAAAGAAAUAAAUCCUAAUUCCCAAAUCCUUUUUCAAUUUUUCACAUCUAAUUAUCAAAAAGGCGACAAUGCCAUUGUUUGGGUUGCUGGUCAAAUUAAAAAAAAUACAAUUUCAGAUAAAUUUUCAAAACUCGCUCGAUUCAUCAAAAACUGCUAGAUUUAAUGGGUCACAGGUUCGACCAUCGGGCUCAGACAGUUUAGAACGAAUCAUCUGCAACUCUGAUCCAAUUGCUAAAUCGGCCCGAUUCCAUGACCAGUCUAUCAAUUUGACCGAUUCAACACUGGGUCGGGUUGAAUUUAAUAACUAUGGUUUUAGACAAGAAAGUGUGGCAUGGAUCUUCAGAAUUAAUUCAUUUACAGAAAGAGCUCUCUUUUUCUUUAUUUCUGUUUUUUUUUUCACAGCUGCACUGGUCACCCUUUUUGAGUGGCACCCUGUUUUAUUCAUCUUCAGUUUUCAUGUACAAUACGCGAAGUGGAACUGAGUACAGCCGAAAUGUAAGCACAUUUGACGGUUAGCAACAAGGAAUAAAUAUCACGAGCAAGCCAUGAGUUUCAAUUUUGGUUAUUUAUAUCUAUCUAUGAAAUAAAAACUGAAUUUAGAAAUCUUCAACUUUGGCCCGUGAAUUUAGAAAACUACAACAUCAUCAAGUCUCCAGGUGUUAAAAGCAAAAUAUAUAAAUAUAGUGAGAGUAAUCCAACUAGAAGCGAUUGUCCAUCUCUUUUUAAAGUAAAUAUUCACCUUGAAUAUAUGUUAAGAGUUUGACAUGAGCUCCUACACGUGAUAUUUUCAUAUUGGAUGAAGGGAAGCUGCAAAACAGGUUAGGUGAUACUAGUGCGAGUGAUGUUUGCUUGAGCUCUAAAAGCUUUCCUUUGAAGAAAAUUAAGAGGUUGUUUGAAUUGCAUUUUGAGGAAGAGAUUUUGGGAAAGGAAUUACUGUUAUACUUUUUGGAUGUAAUUUUCAUGAAAUAAAACGCAAUUUUGAACAUCAACGGUGGCAAUUUUAAAAUUACUGUUAUAUUUUUUUUUAUCACCGUCCUACAUUUUCAAUCAGUACAAUCUUGAACAUCAACAUAUUUGGUUGCACCUACAACUUUGGGUAUUUGUCCAGCUACACUAUUGAUUUUUCCCCCCUUCCAAUUACUGAAUUGAUUGGGUUGUGUAAAAAGUUUUGUUUAUGUGCUAUUUCUUUGCUUAUUUGAAAAAAAAAAAGUGAAAGGAAAAAGUAACAAAAAGGUCAAAUAUGGCGUAAUUUCAUUAUUGAGUUGUGUAAAAGCUUUUUCAUUUUGACAAUUGAACAUACAUAUAGAAUUUAUGAUACCUUACUCUUGAAAUUCUGGCCUCAUCGUGUGAAGGUGAAAAGAAAUUACUGCAUAGUUAUACUUUGAUAAGUUGUAUAAAACAAUCAAAAAAGAAAAAAGAAUAAGGUUUUGAUGAGGAAAAUUCAGAAAUUGAAGUCGUACGAUUAGAGUUGAAAGAUGAACUAAUCUAUUCGAUACUUGAACUGAGUUUAAGAGCUCGUUCGAGAUUAAUUUGCCAACUAAUCAAACCAAACUUGAAUAGCAGUUUACAUUCGAUAGCAUUCAAGUUGGGUCUCAAUGCCCCAAAUGUUGGGUCUCAGUUUUGGGCUAAGUUAUCUGCCCUGCAGUCUGUCUCUUGAUUCCUCAAAUUCUUUCCCUGGGACGGGCCAUGAAAAGAAAUAAAUACUCAAGAUCGUCCUAGGAGCUGUUGUGCAUGUAACUUACAUGUCCGCCUGACAGAAUUGCCUUGCAGAAAAUUCUUGCACCGCUAUUUUCACCUCCCAAAAGAAAAUAUUGAUUUAUUAAAAAUGAAAAGAAAAUGCCACAAAAGAUUACAAUCGUAAAAGAAGGAAAGAUAAACAUGUUGGCUUCAUACACAUGUCUAACAAAAAUAGUCCAAAAAAACUAUCCACUACUCCUAAUAAUAAACCUCGAUAAGGGAUCUCAAGCCCGGUACUGGAGUUAUCUUAUAAUCAUUGAACCCUGCCUCAGAAAAGAGUUUUGCCCACUCUCUCUCAGUUCUUUCUUUCCCUGUGACAAGGACCAUCAUCAGCAUAUCAACGAAAAGUUGAGUUUAAAUUGCCUCAUCAUCAUCAGCUCCUUUUUGCUGGUCACUCAGUACCAUGUCUAUGAUUAUCACCUUCCCUCCACUUUCCUUGCUAGGAAUUGCUUCUUUGCAUUUCCCAAGUAUUUGUAUACAUUCCUCAUCAUUCCAAUCGUGCAAUAUCCACUGUUUAAAUUAACAUUCAUAUCACAAAGAAUUCAAAUCAGUCAGGAACACAUGUUAAAGUUAUUAAAGAAAAUUGAAUUUGAUAAGAGGUGUUAGGACCGGGCCAGGAAAUAGACAAACUCAAGUUAGAACAAAGUAGGCGGUAUAACCGACCAUAUAAUAGAUAGGCGGUAGAUACCGGCCAUAUAAUAAUUAGGCAGUAAAAUCGACCAUAUAAAGACGGAUAACAAAGCAAAUAAAAGACACAGAAGAUUUACGUGAUUCGGUCAAAUUGACCUACGUCCACGGGCAAAGGAGGAGCAAUAUUUCUACUAUGAAAAAGAAAUACAAAAGCCGUAGGAAAGUGGUUCCUAGGCCAAAAGGCACUUAUAAAAGAUUUAGGAAAUAUUCCUAAACACAAUACAAGAGAGCCUAAAAUAUUUGACUAAAUGGGCUAGAUGACUCAAGAAACUAAUAGCCCAUAUAACUCUUUUGAGUGGUGCAAAUUAAAAUCUUCAGAGGACCCUUCCUUUUAUAGGCCUCGAGUAGCCGACUUCUUCUUGGCUUUGUGCGAUGUGGGAUGAAAAACUUAUGCCACAGUCAAACAUUGCGGCUGUGAAAAAAUCAACAAAUCUCCACCUUGGCAUAAUUUGGAAUCCCACCAUUGACAAUAGUAAAACUGCUCCACCUUCUCCGCAUAAGCCCCAAUGGGCUUAAAUCACAAACGAACACCAAUCAAGUCCAAACACUGUUUGAACUUGUAAACUGGAAGAGGUUUCGUAAACAUAUCGGCUGGAUUGUCCUUAGUAUUGAUUUUCUGAAUAAGGAAUUUUCCCUCAGCAAUGAUAUCCCGAAUGAAGUGAUACUUCACAUCAAUGUGUUUCGUCCUUUCAUGAUACAUCUAAUCUUUAGUCAAGUGUAUGGCACUUUGACUAUCACAGUGAAUAUCAGUAACACCUUGAUAUAGACUUAGCUCGCUAAAUAAACUCUUCAACCACAAGGCUUCUUUGAUUGCCUCGGUCACAGCCAUAUAUUCUGCUUCUGUAGUAGACAAAGUUACGACAGGUUGUAGAGUAGCUUUCCAACUAACAGCACAACCGCCAAUGCAAAAUACAUAGCCUGAAAGUGAUUUUCUCCUGUCAAAAUCUCCAGCGUAGUCUGAGUCUACAAAACCAACCAAAGUAUUAUUAUUUCUUCCAAACUCCAAACAUGUAUUUGAAGUAACUCGCAAGUAUCUGAGAAUCCACUUCACAGCCUGCCAAUGUGUUUUACCAGGGCAAGACAUAUAUCUGCUAACAACACUGACUGCUUGUGCAAUAUCUGGACGAGUACAAACCAUUGCAUACAUAAUACUGCCGACUGCACUGGAAUAAGGAACCCGUGCCAUAUAAUCUUUCUCUUCAUCUGAUUUUGGUGAUUGAGCAGCAGAUAGCCGAAAAUGGCUAGCAAGAGGAAUAGAUACUGAUUUAGCAUCUUUCAUGCCAAAACGCUCCAAGACUUUCUCAAGGUAAUUUUUCUGGGUCAAAAAUAACUUUCCUACUCCUCGAUCUCGAUUGAUAUCCAUGCCAAGAAUUUUCUUAGCUGCUUCCAAAUCUUUCAUUUCAAAUUUACUAUUUAACUGCAGUUUCAAGGUGUGAAUUUCUGACAAAUUCUUGGCAGCAAUGAGCAUGUCAUCAACAUAUAACAAUAAGUAAAUGAAAGAACCAUCAUUUAACUUCCGGAAGUAAACACAACUAUCAUACAUGCUCCUCAAAUAACCAUGACCCAACAUAAAGGAAUCAAACCUCUUAUACCACUGUCUUGGAAAACUGUUUCAAUCCAUAUAAGGAUUUCUUUAAUAAGCAAACAUGGUCUUCCUUACCUUCAAUUUCAAAACCCUGGGGUUGUCUCAUAUAAAUUUGUUCUUCAAGUUCGCCAUGUAAGAAAGCUGUCUUAACGUCGAGCUGUUCUAACUCCAAAUUAUACAUGGCAACUAAAGCAAGCAAAACACGAAUAGAGCUAUGUUUAACAACAUGUGAGAAUAUAUCAUUAAAAUCAACACCUUGUACCUGACUAUAGCCCUUUGCAACCAAUCGUGCUUUAUAUCUUGCAUUUUCAACCCCUGGAAUACCUUCCUUUUUCUUGAAGACCCACUUGCAACCAACAAUUUUCUUAACUGACGGCGGCUUUACAAGAACCCAAGUUUCAUUCUGAUGAAGAGAUUCAAUUUCUUCAUUCAUCGCAAUCAACCACUUUGCAGAAUCAUCACAAGAAACUGCUUCUGAAUAGGUGGAAGGCUCACCAGCUGCAUCAGUUUCUUCUGCAACAGACAAAGCAUAUGCAACUAAAUUUGCAUAUCUUUGUGGUGGUCGAAUGUCUCUCCUUUGUCUAUCUCUGGUUAUGGAAUACUCCUCUUCUUCUGAACUAUCUUCAAUAGUAGAUUCAAGUUCAUCUACUGGCACUUGCUGAAUAGAAGAUUUGGAUUGAGAAGGACCAGAACUGCCAAUAUCAAGCUCCACCUGCUUCUGUGUACUAUCAGUAGUACAAGGAUUAGAAGACUCCUUCUUGGAAGAUAACAUAGACAAUUCAUCAAAAGUAACAUCUCUACUGAUUACAAAUUUUGGGGAUUUGGGAUCAGGACACCAUAAUCUGUAUCCUUUCACCCCAGAAGCAUACCUAAGAAAAAUGCACUUUUUAACCCUAAACUCCAAUUUUCCAUCAUUCACGUGCAUGUAUGCUGGACACCCAAAAACUUUUAAAUUUGAGUAAUCAGCAGGAGUACCUGACCAAACUUCCUCAGGAGUUUUGAAAUCAAGAGAUGCAGAAGGAGAACGGUUGACAAUAUAACAGGCCAUAUUGAUCGUCUCUGCCCAAAAGUCGUUUGUCAACUCUGCAUUGGAGAUCAUACAUCUUGCUCUCUCCAAAAGAGUUCUGUUCAUACGUUCGGCCACACCAUUUUGUUGAGGCGUCAUCCUGACGGUGUGAUGCCGAACAAUUCCUUCAUUCUUGCAAAAUUCAUUAAAUUCACCUCCACAAAAUUCCAUGCCAUUAUCUGUUCUCAACCGCUUAACAUGUUUUCCUGUUUGUUUCUCAAUCAAAACUUUCCAUUGCUUGAAAGUUAGGAAAACAUCAUUUUUAUGCUUAAGAAAAUAGACCCAAACUUUCCUUGAAUAAUCAUCAAUGAAAGUCAACAUGUACCUGGCACCACCUUUAGAAGGAGCACGAGAAGGACCCCAUAGAUCUGAAUGAAUGUAAUCAAGAGUACCUUUUGUCUUGUGAAUUGCUGGUGAACUGAAGCUGACUCUUUUCUGCUUCCCAAAAAUACAAUGUUCACAGAAUUUCAAUGGCCCGGUACUUUGUCCACAAAGAAGUCCUCUUUUGCUUAGUAUGCCCAAGCCUUUUUCACUCAUGUGCCCCAAACGCAUAUGCCAUAAUUUGGUGAUGUCUGUAUCUGACAAAGAUGAUGUUGAAACAGCAGCAGCACCUGUCACAGUAGAUCCCUACAAAAUAUACAAAGUACCAGAUCUGUGUGCCUUCAUAACAACAAGAGCUCCUCGAGUGAUUUUGAGAACUCCAUCUCCACCUGAAUACCUGCACCCGAUGGACUCAAGAGUGCCUAAAGAGAUGAGAUUUUUCUUCAAAUCUGGAACAUGUCUAACAUUUGUGAGCGUCCUCACAAUACCAUCGUACAUUUUAAUCCGGAUUGUGCCUUUGCCAACAACUUUACAAACAGCGUUAUUGCCCAUUAAGACAACUCCACCUUCAGUUGAUUCAUAUGUUGAAAACCAGUCCUUAUUUUGACACAUAUGAUAUGAACAACCCGAAUCUAAAAUCCACUCAUUGUUAGACCUAAAAUUAUUUUCCGUUGCACAGAAAAUAGUUCCAUCAUUCUCAUCAACGGCAAUACUAGCCUCAGUGGUUUCAGUCCUUUUCUCCUUUUGCUUUUCUUUAUUUUUCAAUUUAAAGCAAUCAGAGAUAAUAUGGCCCUUCUUUUUACAAUAGUUGCACACUACAUUUUUAUGUCUGGACUUGGAUCUACUUCUAUUUUCUGUGUUUCUCUUUUCAAAUCUACCCCGAACAAACAAGCCAUCGGCUUGACUCCCACUAGUUUCCCCAGUAAUAUCCCUAUCUAUCUGUUCUUUAGAUUUUAAUGCAGAUUUAAUUUCCCGAUACGAAAUUGUUUCCUUUCCAUAUAUCAUAGUAUCACGGAAAUGCUUAAAGGACUGAGGAAGGGAACAUAAAAGUAAUAGGGUCUGAUCUUCAUCAUCAAUUUUCGAAUCUAUAUUCUCCAAAUCCAUAAUAAUGGAAUCAAAUUUAUCAAGAUGGGAGAGUAUAGAUGUACCUUCAGACAUCCGAAGCAUAUACAAACUCUGCUUCAAAUAUAGCCGAUUCUCGACUGUUUUCUUCAUAUACAAGGCUUUCAAUUUAUCCCACAUAGCCUUGGCUGAAGUCUCCGUUGCUACCUCACACAAUACCUCAUCGGAGAGAUUCAAAAUUAUGCUGGAUCUAGCUUUCUUAUCCAUAUCAGCGAAAUCCGCAUCUUUUACAUCUUCUGGUUUGUUCUCGAUUCCAUGAAUCGCUAGAUCAACUCCGUCUUGAACAAGAAUGGCCUCCAUCUUGAGCAGCCACAUGCCGAAGUUGACAUUUCUGUCGAAUUUCUGGACAACCGUCUUUGUUAUCGUCAUUGUUGCCACAAAUUCUGUAACUUGAAAUUUGUCUCAAAAAACUGGCCAAACAAAUAUGCAAGUCUCGUGAGCAGGCCCCACAGGGUGAGCGGGCCCCACGAGAUAAGCGGGCCCCAUGGGGAUGAACGGACCCCACAAGGUGAGCGGGCCCCACAGAUAGACGGACCCCACAGGAUGAGUGGGCCCCAUAGGAUGGGCGGGCCCCACCAGAUAAACAUGUCUUGCAAAAUAUAACAACCAGCUCUGAUACCAGUUUGUUAGGACCGGGUCAGGAAAUAGACAAACUCAAGUUAGAACAAAAUAGGCGGUAUAACCGACCAUAUAAUAGAUAGGCGGUAGAUACCGGCCAUAUAAUAAUUAGGCGGUAAAACCGACCAUAUAAAGACGGAUAACAAAGCAAAUAAAAGACACAGAAGAUUUACGUGGUUCGGUCAAAUUGACCUACGUCCACGGGCAAAGGAGGAGCAAUAUUUCUACUAUGAAGAAGAAAUACAAAAACCGUAGGAAAGUGGUUCCUAGGCCAAAAGGCACUUAUAAAAGGUUUAGGAAAUAUUCCUAAACACAAUACAAGAGAGCCUAAAAUAUUUGACUAAAUGGGCUAGAUGACUUAAGAAGCUAAUAGCCCAUAUAACUCUCUUGAGUGGUGCAAAUUAAAAUCUUCAGAGGACCCUUCCUUUUAUAGGCCUCGAGUAGCCGACUUCUUCUUGGCUUUGUGCGAUGUGGGAUGAAAAACUUAUGCCACAGUCAAACAUUGCGGCUGUGAAAAAAUCAACAAGAGGUACAGAAGCCUCUCCCCCCCCCCAAAAAAGACAUGGUUGUAGUGAAUCAGAAGCAUGUAUAGAUGUGUUCAGAAUCAGUGCUAAGAAUGACUUUAACAACAAAAAGGUGAAUAUGGAUCUGUUGCAUCAUCUUGGAAAGGUGAACUUACCUUCAUUAUAACAGCAUCUUUAGGAGAAAUACUGAUGGAUGAUUUCCUGCAAGCGCAUAGGGUCGAUCGUAGUACUAAUUAACGUGGAGUAUUCCAGGGUCGAACCCAUAGGAAUAAAUCAAAUUUCUCCACUUUAAUUAUUUUCACAAAAGAGUGAAUGAGAAGAGAUUUUAUAUUUUCAUGGAAGAACUAACAAUUAAUUUGAUUAAAUUGAUAAGAAGUGAGGGAACAAUAGUUAAGCAAGCCUAAGGUUUAGGUUUUAAUCCAGAGGUUGAAUUGAUUCUCCAAUUACUGUUUUGUCAAGUUAUGAACGUCUCACACAAUAGUAUUUUAAAUUAUUUUUCGAUACAUCUAAAGUGUGUCUAAUCAAGUUCUACGCCUUUCUUGAGACCGUAAACGUUCAAUUACGCCCCAUUGGAACCUUGGUAAUAUAACCGAGUCAUACAAAUCUUAACCUAUUCUCGUGAUUAAGCUAAGUGUGCUUAUUUAUUUAGUGUACAGUUGUAUAUUGCUUCUCAAUUCAAUACAAACCCUAAGGUGGCCAAUCACAAACACGUAAUUAAACCAAGAUAGAUAAAUCAUAGCAAAACGCAAGAAUUUUAAUUGAAAAAAUUAAUUAAUUCUCCUUCAUAAGUUUCAAAUCAUGCAAACCAAUUCCAAACAAGAGAAAAAGACCAAAAAGUUAAUAAGAAAAUCAGAAAUUCAGUGACAAGAUGGCUUUAGUUACCUUCAGCAAGAUUGCAUUAGCACGGGGUACACUUUGAAACAUAUCUCCAGCUACAAAUUCCAAGUUCUCAGCUCCUCCUUGAUUAGCAACGACGUGUGGGAGAUCAUACACUGUGCAUUUUAUGUUAGGAAAGUUUUGAGCAAUGGCCCUAGCAACUUUGCCUGUGCCACCCCCAACAUCAGCCAAAGUUGUCAAGCCUUCAAACACAGACUUGCAUUUGGUCAUCAGCACUUCUACAAACAAAUGAUUAUCACUAGCCAUGUUUUCAUUAAACAUUUUCCAAAUCGAACUUCUUGAGCGUUGUAAUGCCAGAAAUUAUUCCCAUAUGCAGUAUCAAAUGGAGAGGAAUCAUCAUUCUGGAACCACUCGGUCAAGAAAUUCCAGGGCUUCAGCAGGACAGGAUCACAUGAUAGAAAAAUGUGUGCCCGUACAUUGAAUGGCUCAUCUUUCAAAAGAAGCCGACCUGCAGAGGUGAGUGCAUAGCCUUGAGGGUUUUCAACGAAGAAUCCAGAGUUAGCCAAGAAUCGCAUUAAGCGAAAAAUGUGGGCAGAUUUAGAAGGAUGGAUUGGGAGGACAGAAAUCAGGUCAGAAAGUGUUAUGGGCUUCCCAUGAUUACUGAUCAGAUCUGGGAUUCCCAACUCAACUGCGCAUUUUACACAUGCAGAUUUCUUGAAAUGGAACAUUGCAUUCCACACAUGAGCUUGAGCUUCAAGAAGGUCACCUAAAUUGUCAGCUUUUUCCAUCUUUUUGGGAACUUUAUUUUCAAAUUCAAUGGCUGUAAUUCAGUUGUAAAUAACAAAUGGUCAAGCAGGACUCCAUUUAUAUGCUAGUAAGUAGAUUUCUCCAGUGCCUCCUAUAAGGCUAUAUUUGAUUGGUUUCCAGGCUUCCAAAGUAUCUAAAUAGGUUUGGCGGAUCUAGAGGUGCCAAACUGCCAAACUUCACCAAACCAAAUAAAUACGCCCAAGUAAUUUGAUUAAAAUAUCUAAUUGCUAAUGCAAUUACAAUUACUAAUUCGUAACUGAGAAAAUUCAGAACGAAUGAACCAUGGGCAAGACUGAGAGUAAAUUGAAGCAACCACCAUUGAUGGUGACAUAAAAGUUGAAACAAAUGGUUAUGGGGGCUUGACUAGCUCUUUGAGGAUCGACGGGGUAGCAUUUGUUUUGCAGUGUUCUUAAUGGUAGACCUCUUCCACGUUACAAGCAUUUACCGAAAAGGUAAUCCAAAAGAAAGAUAUCAUCUUCCUUGUUCACCACAAUGGUCUGGAAAUUUAUUAGAAAAUCUCAUAUUAGAGUCAGGGUGCCUUUUAAUCUUGUAUGGGCUUACAAAAGAUCAACAGAUUUUUAUUUGCAAUGGUAUUAAUGUUCCUUUAUUAGGGAUAAACCUCAAUGAGACCCCUUUUACCGAACACUGGAAGACGUUAUAGCCGCUGAAACCAGCAUCCCAGAAGAGUAUUGAUAGGUUGCAAUUUUAUCAUUUAUUUUAUUAUUAAUUUCCCCUAUUACCUGGCCCGAUAUGGAUUAAUUGUUGGAUUCUACUCACUUUUAGUAUUUUGCAUUUAUUUCAGGGAGUAGAACGAAAAUAUGAUAACAGGUGCCAAUUUGGCAGAAAAGGAGUCCAAAUGAUAGAGUUUGUCCUAGGGGCAUUUUUAGAAAAGAAGACGUUAUGCCCAUUUUGGUAAUUUCUGCGAAGACAAGGACGGAUGGAGGGCUUGGUCUUCUAUUCUCGCUGGGGAGCCGCCGCACAGUAGCAUGAGAGUAGGCAAUAGAUAGAAACUAGAAUUUGCAAAGGAUUAGGACAAAAACACCCCCAUUAUUAGUUCGAAUUUUGAAAAGAAACAGUUACUCCCAGUCCCUGUGGAUUCAACCCUGCUUACCACUAUUUAUAAAAAUUAACUUUAUUUGAGCAGGUUUUUAUUAUUGCACAGGCUGACAACUUGUCAAGUAUUGCUCACUCAUUCUCAGUUCUUUCUUAGGCACCAUAAAGAACUAACAUCUGCAUGUCAAAACAAAUCUGGGCUUCAACGGACUCAUGAUUUUCUAACUGGCUCUCCAUCACCAUGUCUAUGAUAAUCACUUUUCCCCCUUUGUCUCUUCCUGGAAGGGCCUUUUUUUGCAGUUCUUGAGUAUGUUCACACAGUCUUCAUCGCUCCAGUCAUGGAGAAUCCACCGUUACAUAUAAAAUCACACAUUAAAAUAAAGUGUGGAUAGAAUUUUUGAAGCUCAAAAUUUAGCCUUGGGUGGAUUACUAUAAACUGCAUUUGAAGAACUCGUGCAUUUAUCUUGGACUUCUCAUGAGAACAGAUGUGGAUAUGAUUUCUUUACUGUUUUAAUAAUGAAUAAAUGACCCAAAAUUUCAGAAUUCUUACAUAAUUACGCAUUUUAGCCAAAAUGCAAUAGGACUAAUUAAUAAUCACUGUGCAAAAGGACAUGUUCAACAUUAACAACGUCAGCAAUUUAACUUUUUUAAUUCUUGGAAAUCUUUUCCCUUUUAGUGUGCAAUCCAAAACACUUGUUUUUCAACUAUUUUAAGGCUUAAUCCUAGACAUAAACAAGUACUAAUCAUUGAUCAAUUGUACAUACGUUUGUUCGCAAUCUCGAAAACAUGGACGUGAUUAGCAAUCUAACAUUUUGAAAUAUUUUUGAGAUUUUUUUUCCAUUUACAUUUAGUGUGAAAUUCCAAAAUACUUAUUUACUUUGCUUAAUUUGGAUUAUUGGAAAAUUUGGCAAUGCGAAGUGGCUUAAUCAUAGCCGUAAGAAAGUAAUAGUUGUUGAAGAUGCAUACCAAAAAAGGAAGAAAAAAAAUGCGAUCUCAGUUGCUCGUAAUUUCGUGAUUAGGGUACUAAAAAAACAUUCGAGAGCCCCUUCUUUUGGCCUCAUUUUGUUCGCUGCUGACUGAGUACAACAUCAAGGUUAUUAUUAAGUUGAAAAGGCUGAACUGGGCAUCAAAUCCUCAGUUACAGGCAUUCGGUCACAAUCCAAUCGCCUACGUAAAAGAUUAUUCCAUGUUAAAUUCACUAAUCCCGUCACGUGACAGUUCUUUAAUUUUACGAGUGAGUUGAGUUUGGAGAAUCUACAUUGGAAUGCGUGACUAAGGAUUUAAAGCUGGCUGGACCAAUUAAACAGCCCAACACUACCUGUUGAAAAGGUCUUUGGUUUUUAACUUUACAAGCCCAAAACAGACGAGUCGGAACUUGUUCAAAUGUUUUUAAUUGUCACUAAUCAGCAAAAAAAAAAAGAUGAAAGACUUAUAUUAAGUGCAGGCAAAUGCCGUUCGUCUCUGUGCUCACCUGCUAUAAAACUGGAAACCAUUUUUGCCGUUGGUCUCUGUACUAUUGCAGGAAUGGAAAGAGCGGAGAAUCUUACUGAGCUUCUUGCAGCUCAAAAUCAUGUACGCAACCAAAUGCUCAACUUCAGAAAGUCUGCAUCUCUAAAAUGUGCAAUUGAACUGGGAAUCCCUGAAGCCAUCAAUCAACAUGGGAAGCCUAUCACACUUUCUGAGCUGGUUUCUGCCCUUCCAGUUAACCCUUCAAAAGCUAGCCACAUCUAUCGCCUGAUGCGAUUCUUAUCAAAGGCCGGCUUCUUUGUUCUACAAGAUCAAUGCUAUGCGCUCACAGCUGCAGGCCGUCUUCUUUUAAAAGACGAUCCUUUCAAUUUAAGGGCACUUAUCUUUUUUAUGAGCGACCCAGUUUUAGUGAAGCCCUGGAAUUCCUUGACUGAGUGGUUCAGGAAUGAUGAUCCCGCUCCAUUUGAUACAGCGCAUGGGAAAAACUUCUGGGCUUAUGCUGCUGAAGAGCCUAAUUUUGCAAACCGCUUCAAUGAAGCCAUGGCCAAUGAUUCUACUUUCAUCGUUCAGGUGAUGAUGACCCGGUGCAAGUUUGUGUUUGACGGCUUGACAUCUUUAGUGGAUGUUGGGGGCGGCACAGGGACGGUUGCUAGGGCCAUUGCCCAAAAUUUCCCCAACUUGGAGUGUGUUGUGUGUGAUCUCCCACACGUGAUUGCCUGCCAAGAGGGAACUGAGAACUUGGACUUUGUCGCAGGAGAUAUGCUAGAGAAGGUACCUACUGCUGAUGCAAUCUUGCUCAAGGUAAUUAAGGAUACUUUCCAUGAAAUCGUUUUUUCCUUAGCCACUCGAAUAAUUAAGAAACAAUUGAGACAAUGUUGAUGUAUAAGUCUACAACGAUUUCAAUAAACAGAAAUAUAAACAAUUAAACGUCCAGCUUUAACAGUUGAUUUGCAAGAUCGCUAACAUAGACGCCUGUUGUAUGAAAGAAUAACAGUAAUAAUCAUAUGCAAAAUAUUUGCUUGAGAGGCUAGAAUGUUUGCUAAAGAAACCGGAGUUCUUGGCGCUCAUUAAUUGAUGCGUGAGGCAGUGAUGGAGUGUGAUAAGCUUAAUUUUGUGAUUUUACUGGAAAACAGGGGAUUCUCCAUGACUAGAGCUGUUAAUCGAGCCGAGUCGAGUCGAGUAUUUGGCUGCCGAGCUCGACUCGAGUUUAAUUCGAACCGAGCUUGACUCGAGCUCGUUAGGAAAACGAGCUUUAAAAUGUGUUCGAACUCGGCUCGUUAAAUGUACAUGUGGCUCGAGUUCGAGCUCAAGCUCGACUCGUUUAUCACAAACGAGUCGAGUUUCACGAGUUCGAGCUCGAGCUCGUGCAAAUUAACCUUAAUAAAAACCUAUAAUUUUUAAUUUUUAUAAUUUUGAUUUCUAAAAUGAUAAAUAUGCCCUUCAUUAACGAGCUCUAACGAGCUACUCGAGUAUCAAACGAGCCGAGCUUACUCGGCCCGUUAACUAAACAAGCAUGUUUCGAGCUCGAGCUCGACUCGUUAACCAAAAUUAACGAGUCGAGCUCGAGCCUUAACGAGCCGAGCUCUAACGAGCUUUCGAGCUACUCGAUUAACUUAACAGCUCUAUCCAUGACUGGAGUGAUGAAGAUUGUGUGAAGAUUCUCAAGAACUGCAAAGAGGCUAUUCCAGGGAGAAACAAAGGGGGAAGAGUCAUUAUUAUCGACAUGAUUUUGGAAAGCCAGAUUAAAGACGACGAGUCAGUUGAAACACAAGUUGGUAUGGACAUGCAGAUGUUGAUGUGUCACGCUGCUAAAGAAAGAACUGAGAAAGAAUGGGCAAAGCUUUUCCGAGAUGCUGGUUUCAGUGACUACAAAAUACUUCCAGUGUUCGGUGUGCGCUGUCUCAUUGAGGUUUAUCAUUAGACUACAAGUUCAGUUCAAAAUUGUCUCAUUGAGGUUUAUCCUUAGACUAAAAGUUCAGUUCAAGAUUGGUACUGCUACAAUAAUUGAGGUUUCAGUUUUAUCCUCAGCCUUUGUCUCCCACUGUUGGAAUUUGCUUUGCUCUGCUUGUAAUCGCCACUUUGGCAAUAGAACUAUUCUGUUUUCUGUGUGUCUUGCAAUUUGUGGAGUGUGAUCUAGAUCACAUCAUUUUUCUCCUGUAGGGAAAUGUAGUGGCAAAAGAUUCACGCAUUGAAAAAACUUUCCUGCUAUAGUAAAGCCAGCAGUGAUGUUAUAGUACAAAGAAAGAUGUGGUGGCAGUUAUGCCGUUGUGAUAGUACUUUAUUUUUAAGGCAUUUAAUGUGGGAUAGCCAAUAAGUACACAUUUCUUACAAAAAUCAGGUUGGUAUAGAAACAUGGGGAAUUUGUUAAUGCCCCUUUAAUUGAAGUUUGGCUCACCCAUUUAAUUGAAAAUUGGCUCACGCACUGGUUUGUUUGAAUAAAUUAUUGGGCUGAAUUUGUUUCUUUUUGUGGAUUUCAUGUAAACUAAUGAUUCAAGCACACUCGAUGUAUGUGAAACUAAUAAAAUUACAACAUAUGUAAAAAUAUUUUUCUUUAAAUUUGGAUAAUUAAGAGGCAGAAACUUGGAUUGGUUGGGGUGAUUUAAAAAUUGGAGGAAAUGAAGAAGGUAAAGAGAAAAGAAAUAUGCCUAAUAUUUUGUUUUACAUUUUAUUAUCUUUAUCAUAUAAGUUCGGACUGAAAUGUUAAUACUUUCAAUUUAAUGUGUAAUUUUGAAAAGGAUAAAUAUGGAAAAAUUGUGGAUAAACAAUUUGUUUUACAUUUAGCAUUUUUCUCCUGCUUUGUGGUAGUGGGAUAAGAUGGUAACAAAAUGUGUUUAGGGAAUGUCUCAAAAAAUUUUUUUUUUUUAAAAUCAAUUAACUCUUGUCCAAACAAUCCUUUAACUCCUUUGUUCCCUAAGUUACUUGAAAUGAACUUGCAGAGGUUCACUAUCACUGGCUAAUUCACCAUCAGCCUGAAUGUAUGAUCUAUGAAGAAUUCGCUUUGGGCAGGCCUCAAAUGUCAAUAGGGAGAAAACUGAAAUCCACUGCCACCCAAAAAGAAAGUUAAAAAAUGAAUGAAUUUUACUAAACCAAAAUCAAAAAAUCCUUCGAAUCUUACUAAAUUUGGAUUUAAAUAUCAAAUUUUAGAUAUGUGGCAUGUAUCUAGACUCGCUAAUGCAUACACUGUCAAUAUAUAAUAGAUUUACCCUUGCCAUUAAAAUCCUUUCCUGCACUGAUAGGGUUGGAUGGAUACCGCAUCAUCUAAAUUUGAAUUUAAAUAUCAAAUUUUAUAUAUGUAGCAUAUAUUUAGACUUGCUGGUAUAUAUACAGUCAGUGUAUAAAAGAUUUAUCCUUUUUUAUAUGGUAUAUAAAAUUCCUUUGUUUGGAUUUUUUUUAUGAUUAUUAUUAUUUUGGUAGACAUGUUUUUUUAUAUCAGUAUGCAAUUCCAACUACUCAAGCAACUUGCAGGUCGAGUAUUGCUAUGAAAAUGGCGAAAUAGCUUUCAAGGAUGGAGCUCUAAUUGCUGCUGAUGCCAUUCUCCAUGCUACCGGGUAUCAACCUACACAUGGUUUUUCUUUUUUCCUUUUAAUCUGGUGACCACCAGUAAUUAAAGCCCACAUUUCAUUUGCCGAAUCCUAAUAAUAGGUGGAGACCCUUCUAAGUUUUAAGUGGCAAUAGCCUAGAGCUGGACAGUGACAUACAAUAAUAUCAGGGUUUACAAUCUGGUAUGGACUGGAAAUAUACAAUUGUACAUUUCAAGAAUAAUAAAAUGAUUUCGUUAACGGGUGCUUGAUGGUUACCUAGUUAAAAGAGUUUUAAGUGUUAUAAUUUAAAAAAAAAAACUAUUAUCAACUCGGCAAAAUGUCGAAAUGCAGUGGAUGCAUUAAUUGUGACCAUGCGUAUUAUUAUAGUAAGAUAGACGUGAUUUAGGUAUAUUAAGAGUACCGAAUGAGUAUUCGUUAAAAAAAUUCAUAAUAAAAUUAACUACAAUUAAGAUGACAUGGUUGAUAUUGUUCUAUGGAAAGAGGACAGGAGUGUUUACAAAGGGGAUUAAUAUGAUAUGAUUGCUAAUUUUUUAAGGGAAGAGGAUAUAACUAUUUGUAAAAGGGAUUAAUGCUUACUAACUGUUUAACAUCCUCCCAAGGCAGUGUUUGUAAGGCCAGGCAGCAUUUGUAAUGCAUUUUUGUAGGAUCAGAAUGUUGAUAAUAAGCGGGUUCAUUGGACAUCUUGGGAUAAUCUUUGUUUUUCUUUGGAAGAGGAAAGUUUGGGAUUCCGUUCUUUUGAAGAUACUUAUCAGGCUUUUUCUUGCAAACUUUUGUGGCGGCUCCAUUUGAAUAACUCGGUUUGGUUUGCCUUCAUGCAUCCAAAAUAUAUCAAGGGGGUGCAUUCGUCUCUAGUCAGAGUUCAUCGUCCUUCUACGGCUUGGAGAAGACUCGAUGAGAUCCAUUUAUUUGUUGAGGAGAAGAUCAGAUGGUGCUCAGGUAAGGGGAUUGUGGAUUUUUGGUAUGAUCGUUGGCUACUUUCAGCUCCAAUAACUGAAGUGGUAGCAGUGCAUAAUCCCCCUUAUAUGCAGGUUGUGGAGUUUUUAUACGUCGGCUGGAUGGAUCAUAUCGAAAUUGCAGCAAUGGCUUUCAGCCCAUUUGGUUCAACAUGUCUCUUAGCUUUUUCUUUAUCCUGACCUAGAUGACGUGAUGGGAUGGUUGCCAUCAUGGUUCAAAGUCGCGGUCGUGGUUUGGACCGUUCCACAUUGGUUUCGGCAUAUCGGUCGCGGUCUCGGGGAGACGCGAAUUUUGAAAUAUUUAAUAUUCUAAAAAUUAUAAAAAAUAUGAUAAUUAAAAAUAAUUAAAAAAUUAGGAAAAAUAAUAAAAAUUCAAAUUGACUCGGGAUGACUCGGAGUGAUUCGGUGUGACUCGACCGUUUCAACUCUUCACGGUGACAUCUCGGUGAGUCACGUAUCUCGGAAACGUUUCGUCGCAGUCUUGUCUCGGACUAGGCCGAGUCGUCUCGGUCUCGGCCGAGUCUUUGAACCAUUACUUGCCAUCGGCUGCAGGGUGUUUCUCGAUCAAGUCAGCGUGGGAAGGUUUGCGCUCCAGCAGGAAUACAACGUUGGUUAACAGGUUACUUUGGUGUAAUAUUCUGCCUUUAAUGGUCUCCUUUUUUACUUGGUGUGCUUUGACGAACUUAUUGUCUCUAGAUCUGACUUUGAGAAAGCGUGGCAUCUCCUUAGCGUCUAGAUGUGAUUGCUGCCUACAGGAGGAGGAGUCGGUGAGUAAUUUGCUGCUUCAUGGGCCAAGUGCUACAAUCGUCUGGGACCAUUUUACAAGAAGAUUUGGUAUUCUUGAUGUCAUGAAGUCCUUACUUUCGGCAAAGCGGGUUUCUUGAUUUUAUUCAUCUUCAGAAACUUUGAAGUAUCACAUUCGUAGUGCCAUGCCCUCUAUUAUUAUUUGGUUUAUAUGAAGAAUGCGCGAUCGGGCAAGAUUUGAGGGAGCUAGGUUUAAUGUUCAAGAGGUGAUUGUCAAGAUUAAUCACUUUAUUGAACCGUUGGGAGCCGUAGGAUUUUCUUUGCAAGUCAUUUUCGUGGGGACAUGGAUGAUCAUUGGGCUGGCUUUGCCUCCUCUCGACUUCAUCAUCCCUCAGUUAUGGUGAUGAAAUGGUUUCGUCCCCUCAAUUUCACGUCAAACUGAACACGGAUGCCAGUGUAGCAGUUGGAAAAGAAGUAGGGGGCGGUAUUCUACUGGAUCAUUACGGUGAGCACAUCUUUGCUUUGUAUAAAGAAUUUGGAGAUGUUAAUGUGUUGACAGCUGAAAGUCUCUCGCUGAUGUAUGGCCUGUUGCUUUGCCAGGAAAGGGAUUGUAAUCAUCUAUUGGUGGAGGUGGACUCUAAAGUCCUGGUUCACAUGGUUUGUUCAGGAGCGCUAGCCAAAUGGCCAUUAUGUAAUGUUCUACGAUGGAUUAGGGGGCUCUCCCAAGAGUUGGCUGCCUCAGUUGUUUAUGUUUAUCGAGAGGCAAAUGCUACUACAGAUAAGCUAGCGGCCUUGCAAUUCAAUGAAGAUGUUUUUUACAAUUCCCCUUGCCAGUUACCAUUUUGAGUCAGGGCAUCUUUAGUUUUAGAUAGGGACGAAUGCCUUUGUAUUCGUCGUCAGAUUGUAAGGGAAUAGAUUUCUUAGUUUCUUUGACGCAUGCUAUCUUGUUGACACUCUUAUUUUGUUUUUUUUUUUCUCCAAUAAAAAUAGGAGUUGGCACCUCCUCCCCGGGUUUGGGGAUUUUUGCCAAAAAAAAAAAGAAGGUUCAAACAUGAUUUUCAUUUUUGAAACACAAAGGGGAUUGUUACUAUUGAUGACAACCAAGUUCGUCCGUUUUACAAGCACGUCUUUCCUCCACAACUUGCUUCAAUUCUUUCUUUUAUUGGAAUAUCGAACCGGGUUAGUCUUAAUAUUGUUCUUGUAAUUAAGAGAGAAAAUGAUUUUACUUAAUUAAUACUUUAGAGUCAAUUUUGAUCAGCUAAUUUUGACAUUUUUGUUUUUGACAAAUGGACAAUAUUUUUUCUGGGUAGCUGGCGUUUUAUCUGGAAAAGUGAAUUUGCCGUCCAUAGACAGGAUGCUGGCCGAUGUUGAAAAGCAUUACCAGUUUCUGGAUGAAAUCGGAAUGCACAAGAGCCAAACGCAUAGUCUUCUCCUGCGCCAUGGAAAAUAAUGGGUUGAGCUCUUCCUGAUUGGGUAGCAUUAUUAUAUAAGAAAAAUAUUUUAAAAAUAGUUUUGCAACUGCUAGGCUGAAUUUAUCUUGUAAAUGCACACUCCACUUGUACUUAGAUACUAUACUAACAUUUAACAUUGCAAUUUUUUUUUUUUUUUGAAAUCCCUCAAAAAUAGGAUUCUCCAUGUAGUAUUAUAUUCUGAGUUAAUUUACAUGAAGACAUAGUUACUUGUCUAUUUUGAAUUAUUUGCAACACUUUUGAGGAUAUAAUAGGAUGUUAUUUUCAUUAACAAUGAAAUCAUUUUUUGAUAUAAAAGCUUAAAGUACCUUUAGAAAUUUAUAUAUCCACACAGAUAAAACUUAGGGGAAAAUGCAAAAAUCUCCCAUGAAUACCUUAUUGCAGUUUACCCCCAAAACUAUGUUUGUUGGUACUUUGCCCCCUUUCAUGAUAUUAUUAGACAAAUCUACCCCUUUUUUAUCCUAAGCAUUGUUAUUUUUCCUUUUCCCCAUCAUUUUCUUUUUAGAUUCUUCCUUUUUUUUUUCUUUAAACAUUGUUUAAAUCAGUGUACUAGAUUAGUCACAACUUGUUUAUUUCUUAAUUUUAUAUGUCAAUAUUUUAUAAAAGAAUUCUAUGGAAUGCAAAAUUUUUUUUCCAAAUGUUGAAGUCAAUGUCAUUUAAGAAAUUAAACUAUUCAAAUAUAUAAUAACAAAAUAGAGAUAUUGAUUAAUCCAUUAUUAGUAGUAUCAAUAACAAAUAAAAAAUGAACUACUGUUGUUGUUUCUUCUUAUCUUUUUUAUUUCACUACAAAUAACAAUUGUUAACUUUUCUUUUUUAUGUGAUAUAUAAUAUGUUACUUUUGUUAUAAGUAGUUGAGUAACUGUGAACUCUUAAUUGAUUUAUAGGUACUUAAAUUGUUUAAUUACUAGAUUAAUACACUUUACGGUAUAAGUUACAUAUAUUUUGUAAUAACAAAGAGUUUAUGAUAAAUUUUUAAGAAUGAAUUUAACAAAUAAAAAAAUUAAAAAAGUGGUUUUAAAAUAUUAAAAAUUUUAAUGUAAGUCUUUUUGCACUAGAGGGAAACAUUGGCUAGUUCCAUGAGAGAAAGGGAAAAGAAGAAAAUGAAAGGAAAAAAAGGGAGAAAAGGAAAAAAAUGAAAAAGCAAAUAGAGAAAAAAGAAAAAAAAUUAAGAUAGUAGGUGUAGUGUUGUCCAAACAUAUCAUUCAAGGGGGCAAAAUUUCUAUUAUUAUAGUUUAUGGGGUAAACUGCAAUUGGGUAUAUAGUUCAUGGGGAGUUUUUUGGCAUUUAACCCUAAAAUUUAGUAAUCAAAUUGUACUACUAGAACUACUCGUGUCAUUCUUUUGAACAAUAAUAGAGAUAAAUUGAAUCUCUGUUUAACUGUGCUUUUUAUUUUUGUUACAUUUCACACAGUAGAGCGCUAACAUAAUCAGAGGUUAAGAUUUUAGGAAAGAAGGAGGAAGUGGUGAAGAGAGGACAAUUAGGAAACUUGUGCAUUUAAGAAGGUACCCGUGUAUAUCUUGAGAACUUUUGUUCCCCCCGGGGGGGGGGGGGGGGUGAACUCUAAUAUUUACAUACAAUAUUAUCAAGUUUUUAAGGCAUGUUUCAAAUGAUGUCUUAUCUUGUAUCUGGCUUACCAUUACACUGUCUAUAAUGAUCACCUUCCCCCCAUUGUCUUUCUCUGGAAUGGCCUUUUAGCAGUUCUUGAGAAUUUUCAAACGGUCUUCAUCACUCCAGUCAUGAAGGAUCCGCUGUUUAAUUGCCGAUAUAAUCACAAAUUACUAUGAGAGAUUCGAUAUAAGUUUCAAAUCGUGCAAAUCGAUUCCAAACGAGAGAAAAAAACAGAAAACUUAAUAAGAAAAUCAUAAAUUUUUUCUGCUAUUAAAAAAAAAUCAGAAAUUCAGUGACAAGGUGGCUUUAGUUACCUUCAGCAAGACUGCAUUGGCACGGGGUACACUUUGAAACAUAUCUCCAGCUAAAAACUCCAAGUUCUCAGCUCCUUGAUUAGCAACGACGUGUGGGAGAUCAUACACAGUACAUUUUAUGUUAGGAAAGUUUUGGGCAAUGCCCUAGCAACUUUGCCGGUGCCACCCCCAACAUCAGCCAAAGUUGUCAAGCCUUCAAACACAGACUUGCAUUUGGUUAUCAGCACUUCUACAGACAACUGAUUAUCACUACCCAUGGCCUCGUUAAACAUUUUUCCAAAUCGAGCUUCUUGAGCGUUGUAAUGCCAGAAAUUAUUCCACAAUGUGGUAUCAAAUGGAGAGGGAUCAUCAUUCUGGAACCACUCGGUCAAGAAAUUCCAGGGCUUCAACUGGGCAGGAUCACAUGAUAGAAAAAUGUGUGCCCGUACAUUGAAUGGCAUCCUUCAAAAGAAGCCGACCUGCAGAGGUGAGUGCAUAGCCUUGAGGGUUUUCAACAAAGAAUCCAGAGUUAGCCAAGAAUCGCAUUAAGCGAAAAAUGCGGGCAGAUUUAGAAGGGUGGAUUGGGAGGACAGAAAUCAGGUCAGAAAGUGUGAUGGGCUUCCCAUGAUUCCUGAUCACAUCUGGGAUUCCCAAUUCAACUGCACAUUUUAGACAUGCAGACUUCUUGAAGUGGAACAUUGCAUUCCACAAAUGAGUUUGAG